AACGAACGCUGGCGGCAUGCCUAACACAUGCAAGUCGAACGAGACCUUCGGGUCUAGUGGCGCACGGGUGCGUAACGCGUGGGAACCUGCCUUUAGGUUCGGGAUAACUCAGAGAAAUUUGAGCUAAUACCGGAUGAUGUCUUCGGACCAAAGAUUUAUCGCCUUUAGAUGGGCCCGCGUUGGAUUAGCUAGUUGGUGGGGUAAAGGCCUACCAAGGCGACGAUCCAUAGCUGGUCUGAGAGGAUGAUCAGCCACACUGGGACUGAGACACGGCCCAGACUCCUACGGGAGGCAGCAGUGGGGAAUAUUGGACAAUGGGAGAAAGCCUGAUCCAGCAAUGCCGCGUGAGUGAUGAAGGCCUUAGGGUUGUAAAGCUCUUUUACCCGAGAUGAUAAUGACAGUAUCGGGAGAAUAAGCUCCGGCUAACUCCGUG
rnacentral:rRNA from 1 species